rnacentral:rRNA from 1 species
UACGUAGGGUGCGAGCGUUAAUCGGAAUUACUGGGCGUAAAGCGUGCGCAGGCGGUUCGUUAAGUUCGAUGUGAAAUCCCUCGGCUCAACCGGGGGAACUGCGUCUGAUACUGGGUGGCUUGAAUCCGGGAGAGGGAUGCGGAAUUCCAGGUGUAGCGGUGAAAUGCGUAGAUAUCUGGAGGAACACCGGUGGCGAAGGCGGCAUCCUGGACCGGUAUUGACGCUGAGGCGCGAAAGCCAGGGGGAGCAAACGGG